GGCAACCGGUGAUGCCCCACGCCCACCCCGACCCUCACUUCUACCCAAGUAGAGGCAACCCCAGAUACAGAUGCCUGGGCGGCAGCGGCUAAGUCUGGCAGUUGGCCAGGCGGCCAAAGGACGGGAACUGGCCGCCCACCCCAUCCUAGUUUCCACGGAGAAACUGAGCCAUCAUGGCCUCUGCGCUGUUGGCUCGGGCUAAAGAGGAACAGAUCCUCAGUUGGGCAGGCGGUGCACUUGGCGACCCUGAGAUCAUCAAGUGCCAGCCCCGCCAAUCCCCGUAGGUGCCCAAGCUGCAGCUGCCACCUGCAUGUGGGCAGCAACUGCCUGGCCACCCCCAGCCCACGACCUCAGCCUACGGAUCCUGGGGCCAGAUGCCUCAGUGGUAAAGCCAGAUGGCCCACUCUGCAACCAAUCAGUCAGCCCUAUCCGCACCCAGGCAGAGUGCUCAGCAUCUGGGUCAGGCUUCAGACCACGUGGAAAAGGAGCGGACCCUCAGGCCUGCUGGGCUGUGCUCUGUGUCCGCAACUUUGAGGCUAUCCAGGGGAAUUCCGCUUUCCCGCGCCAGUGCCUCAGCGGUUGCAGAAAACUGCAGAACUGCAAGUUGCACACAAGCAGAGAUGACGGAGCAACCCCUGACCUUCCGCACCACCCACCCUACCCGCACACCUGCCGCGCGGACCCUGGGCCAGUGCCUGGGUCCCAAGUCAGGCAGUCCGCACAGCAGCGGCACCAGGGUGGGAACCUGUUGGUUAAUACCAUCCCAGUUACCACGAAGAGCCCGCCUCGGCAGCCCCUUCGUUCUUGGAGGAGGCCAAGUCAGAGCACACCUGCGAUGAACAUGACCCUGAGGACGUCAGGUACCAGGCCUGCCAGCCCCCACUGGCAUCGGAGCCGCACCUGCAGCCUAGACGUGGUGCACAGGCAGCAAGUGACUGGACACUCCAGACCAGGCCCGCCCCCCAGUAGCGUGAAUCCUGAGGCCAGACACCCAGGCGGCAAAGUCAGGCCAUCGGCCCCACCAGCGGUUGCUGUUUCAUCGGUGUGGAUACAGAGUGCCCAGUGCCAGGGCCCAGGAUCCCGAGAGAUGUCCAAGAGGAGCUCACCUUCAGGCCAGGUAGGCUGUGCACUCGGCGACCCUGACGCCAUCUAGUGGAAGCUCCGCCAUCUCCUGCCAGUGCCAGAUCUGCAGCUGCAAACCAUUCGUGGGGCACUGGCAGCGGUGACGGCGGGUGGGGGAAGGAGCAGCUCCUGACUCUCCAUGGCUUUCCCGCUACCCGACACUAGCCACACAGACUCCAGGGCCAGAGCCUCAACGGGAAGCCAGGCCAUCCGCGAAGCCACUCAGGUGGCCGGGAGUACUCUUGCCAGCACCCUAUCUCCCUUCGGAGGAGAAGCCGUGCGGGCUGCAAGGCCAGUUCCUCCUCCUCAGGCCGGGCUGGCUGCACGCGUGCUAUCCUGGGGCCGCCCAGGCCAGCCCAGGAGAAUCCUCGAGCCUGGUGGCGCCCGCGGAGAGCUGCAGCCCCACCUGCUCGCGCGGGCCACCUGUGAGUGACUUCCGGGAGCCAGCGGCCACCGCGGUGAAGGCGCGCGCCCAACGUCUUUGCGAAGCUCACUUGGUCUGAGAGGUCGGAGGCUGCGAGUGUCCCUGCUGAAGGCUGUGGUGGACCGGGCUGGAUCGCGGAUUUUGGAGUAUAUCAUAGAUUUCUGAUCGCGGACUGGGGGUUGGAUCGCGGAUUUGGAGUUGGAUCGGGACUUGGGGUUGGAUAGGGGAUUUGGGGCUGGGUCGGCGGGGGCAGGGGCUCCUGGUGAAAAGGUGACAGGAAGCUGCCCCCGCUCGAGAGCCGGUGGUUGGGGGUCUGAGAAGUCACCACCAUGAGGUUGUUCAGCUUCGGGAGCCGCAGGCGCCAGACGGUCCUGGGCUCCAUAGACCACGACUACACGGGUUGAGGGUACCGAGUCUGGGAGGCCAAACUGCAGAAGAUCCACAGGGCGGCUGUCAAGGGUGACGCGGCGGAGGUGGAGCGCUGCCUGGCCCGCAGGAGCGGACACCUGGACGCCCUGGACAAGCAGCACAGAACUGCUCUACAUUUGGCCUGUGCCAGUGGCCAUGUGAAAGUGGUCACUCUCCUGGUUAACAGAAAAUGCCAGACUGAUAUCUGCGACAAAGAAAACAGAACGCCUUUGAUACAGGCAGUCCAUUGCCAGGAAGAGGCUUGUGCCGUUAUUCUGCUGGAACAUGGCGCCAAUCCAGACCUUAAGGAUAUCUAAGGCAACACUGCUCUCCAUUAUGCUGUGUGUAGUGAGAGCACCUCACUGGCAGAAAAACUGCUUUCACAUGGUGCAAAUAUUGAAGCACUGGACAAGGUAUAGUUCAAUCAACUUUCUUUCCAAAAUAUUUGUUUUAACAUUGACAUAGGUAAGGGUCAAUUUUUUAUAUUUGGAAGCUCAACCGUUCCCUGAAAGCAAAUGCAAAUUAAGUUAUUUUGAAAUAAUUAAUUGUCUAAGAUUUUAUUUUAAAUAUUGAUCUUUUGAAAGAAUCAUUAAGGGGCACAGCUUUAUAAAAUGCACUUUGGAAAAUAUUUGUGAAUUUGUUAAAGGUAAAACCUUUUCACUGUUUCCUACACAGGGUUAUGCUUUUCCUUCUUUUUUUUUCCUAAUUAGUAUAAAACAACACAGGAAAGAAAAUAUGCCCUGGAAAUAGGCUUUAUCUUAAAACUCAAACAAAACUAAAGCAACUUACAGUAAAUGGACAUGUUGCUCCUGCUGAUAAUUUUCUGAAAAUCUGAUGUAUCAUUUCUCAGUGGCACAAGGCUUAAGAGGGAAGCAUAGGAAGGGAAAAGGAGAGCAAUCAGAAAUAUGCAGGUCACUUGGAAGUUAGGUAAUGAGGGAAAAUGACAGGAAGAGUUUUUUUUUUUUUUUUUUUUUAAGUUCUUCUAGUUUAUGUGUUGAGACAAAGGUGCUCUUUAGUUUUGGGUCUAAUAAUUUUUGGCUUGAAAAUGAGAGUGAGUUGAAACUUGCCUGGAGAUUAAUUUUAGGAGGAGUCUGAGGAAACCAGAUUGGCAGUGAAUAUAUGUUGACAAAGUGAGAAAAACUUCAGCAGAAGGUGGAACAAAUUAUUAACUGACUUAUUGCCCAUCCUGGCAGAAACAGCCACUUAGAUAAGAGUCUAAAGACUCUUCUCAAAUCUAGUAUGUCUUGGUGGGAAGAUGGGAGAUAAGGAGCUUAUAAAUAGCAAAAUCAAGUAGGAAUUUGAGUUUACUUGUCCCUGUUCUACCCAUACCCAGGAAACUUAACUGGAGCUUUAAUAAAUGACACCAUCUCUUACUCUUUUCUCUUUUUGGCUACAUGUCCAACUGAUAAAGGGAAUUAGCCAUGCAAGUGAGAGAUGAGACUGAAGUGAUUGCCGCACUAAUUCUCAGAAUUGCGCGUUACAGUGACCUGAGGACAUUUUGUUAAAAAUCUACAAUUGUAGGCUUUCCCCUGAGGAUUUUGAUGUAAUAGACCUAAUAAGGCCUGAACCUGUUUAAAAACAUCUUCUCGAAGCUGGGCACAGUGAUAUGUUCCUGUAGUCCCUGCUUGAGCCUGAGCGUUUGAGUCCAGCUUGAGCAACAUAGUGAGACUCUUGUCUCUAACAGCAACGGCCAAAAAAAAAAAAAAAAAAAAAAAAAAAAACCCUCAAGGGUUUGUAUACACUCCUGAUUAAGAACCCCAGAAUAGAUAAGUGCAAUAUAUAAAUUUCUGUAUUUCAAAAAUGUAAGAAAUCUCUAGAAGAGUUUGUGUUUGAUAGGUGCUACUUCCUUCAAAGUUUUCCUUUUCAAUCUCCUUUUCAAGACUUUAUCUGUCUUUCUCUACAUCUGUGACUGGGAUGUGAAAGGGAAAUAGUAUUGGCAAUAUCUCUCAACUUAUAGAAUAACACCUUUCCCUUCCCACCAUUAAUCAUUCACUACCAUUCAGAGAGUCUUUAGAAAUUUGCUUAUGGGUAAUCUUUCAAUAGGUAGGGGCUGACCCUUUCAGGAUUUGAUGUCCCUUUGUCACCAUGCAGGUGAUUAUGUGUCAACAAAUAUUCAUUACAAGUUGGGCUUUCUCAGUUAGAAUAGUAGCAAAUCCUAAACUAUUUCUUUUUGGUUGAAGUUGUAUUACGAACUAUCUCAGUAUGUUUGUUAAGUUUAUAGAGCUUUAGCAUAACCAAAAUGUCAGUUUUAAACACUGAAAUCCAUAAAGUUAAUAAGAAUACAGGUAGGAAUUCUUACAAUAAUUUAGUUUUAGCAGUCCUGUGAACCGAUGAUCUGUUUGGCUAACAAUCUGGGAAAAUUAUAUACCAAUAUAUUUUAAAUGAAUAAAUGUUGGAAAAAUUCUUAAAACAAGUAUUAUAAGUCUUUUUAACCAUUUUUAUUAUAUAUGAGAGCCUGAAUUUUUAGUAAAACAUGACACUAGAGAAAGAAAAUAUUUUACAUGCAAAUACUUGGAUUAUACACAACCAUUUAGUAAUACAUUUAUAGCAAAUAUAAAAACACUAGGGCUAUAUUCUAAUGUGGUACACAGAUUUGGUUGCCUGUAUAAGUUGAAUCAACAUGUAAAAUUUAGAAGACUUGUGUAGAAAUCUGGACUUAAGGCUUAUCCUAAAAAGUCAAAUCUGGUGUCCCCUGAGUUUUUAUCACUGUUUGGUCUGUUGUUCAGAGGUUGCCCCUUUGUAGAAGGCGUGUAUUCUCCAGUUUGCUACUGUGCCCACCUCAGUACUUCCCUUACUCAGGUGACUUUCCUUUGUCAUUGUAAGUAUUUGACUUUACAACUCUUAUGUUGUAGUAUAUUUUGAUAAAUACUUCAAGGUUUUUAAGUCAGCAUGUGCUUGUUUAUAAUAUGUAGUCUAUAGAGUAUAUAAAUCCCUCAGUUAUGGAGUUGAAUUUUAGAAGUUUUUAAAACUCUUUUCUUUAUAUAUACCACAAAUAGUCAUCUUCGCAUAAGAAUGCCUAGAAGCCUUAUUAGGUUAUUCCUGGUUAUAGUUGGAUAAUUUAUGAAUAUUGCAGACAUUACAUCUUUCUCCUCAGCACUCUUCCUUAAAAAUGCAAGUGACUUACUGGCUUUCAUUAUGCUAGAAAUAAUCCGUAUGGAUCAGUAAGAGAACUUUUAUUGACAAGCACUUAUGUUUUAUUUCUGAUUUAUGUUUUCCCUAAAAUAAAAAAUAAUUUUAAAUAGCCAUUUAAGUGGAAGCCAAUAAAAAUGGAUUUAAAAAGUAGAACUGCAUUAGGGUGCCGGGAUUACCAUUGUAAUUGAGAACAGUAUUUCUUACUGAGCUUUGGUCUUUUAAGUAUUUGUUUUUAAGUUUUUUAAACCUAUCUCUCUUACACAGAACAUACUGAGCUUUCUAAAAGUAAAGAUAAAAAUCUAUUCUCUUGUAUUAGGAAAAAAAUCUACGGACUAUUUAAUAAUAAGGAAAAUAAGUGCAUUUGAAGCCAGUCUCUCUUAAUUCAGAGCUCAUUUUGAUAGUGACCAUUUGGAGCAGGAGUGCCUGACAUUGGCAUCUGGGAUCCUGACACCACUGAUAGAAGUGAAUCAAGCAAGUUUGUACCACCCAGAGGAAACCUCCACCUGUAAUGGGGAGCUCUGGCAACUGUUUCUCUGAAACUCUUAAUUUCUCAAAUGUUAAUGUUUGCCACAAAUAGUAUUAUCAAAUGGGGAUUAGGUAACAUUCAAGAGAUUUCUUGAUUAUUGGACAUAAAAUACAGUUUUGUAAUAUUUCUCAAAUGCAGAUGGUCAUGGAGUCUUUCUCUUGGGGUAUACUUCUGGUAAAGCAAAUAUUCUUUGGAAUAUAGUUUAAGAAACACUGCUUUAGAGAGAAUAAUUUAGAUCAUUAAUUUAUGUAAAAAACCCAAAAUAUUUGCUACUAUGUCUUAGGGUUUUGGGGCUAUAGAGACAAAAGAUACAGCCUUUGCCCUCAAGAAGCUCUUGGUUUCAGUGGGAAACAAUGAAAUGAUUACAAUGUACCAUGCUAAGUGCUGUGAUCAAAGCAAGGAUUCUUGGGACUGGUAAAUGUUUAAAGUGAGUUUUGGUAAUGACCACAGUUAAUCUGGGGAGACAGAGGAGGGUUGUUUGCAAGGCAACGAGCAGCACAUCAGAAAGUGCAGAGGAGUGAGAAGGAAGGGCCUGCUUUUCAUUUACUUGCUUUCUAUACUGCAUGUUGAAGUUCAAAGCACCUUAGAUAAGAUUUUCAAUUCAGUUGAGAAAUACGUAAUUUUGUGAAUUAUUAAUUUUUUCUGCUGUUUUAUAGGACAAUAAUACCCCACUUUUAUUUGUUGUAAUUUGCAAGAAAGAGAAAAUGGUAGAUUUUUUAUUGAAAAACAAAGCAAAUGUACAUGCCGUUGAUAAGCUGAGAUGGUACAGUAGUUCUUUUUUUUUUUUUUUUUAAAUAAAAACCUGUAUAUUCUAGAGUGGUAACAGUCAAGUCAGAAAUAUUAAUAAGAUUAAUAUAAUUAUUGUCAUAUAGUGAAAAAUACCACCAUGAAGAAUCAGGUAGACCAGCAAAUAUUUGAACUGAGUAACAUAAAGAACGGUAUGUAGUAGAAUUCAUCUUUUCUUAUAAUACAGAGUGUUUGUUAUUUAUAAUCUGAUGUUUUUGCUAGUGUAAUCUUUUAUUAGCUAAAGGGUUUUGUAUUGGUUUUCUUAAUUUUUUUUUCUUUUUUUUUGAGAUGGAGUCUCACUCUGUUGCCAGGCUAGAGUGCAGUGGUGUGAUCUUGGCUCACUGCAACCUCCACCUCCCAGGUUCAAGUGAUUCUCCUGCCUCAGCCUCCCAAGUAGCUGGGACUACAGGUGCACGCCACCACACCCAGCUAAUUUUUAUAUUUUUAGUAGAGAUGGGAUUUCACCAUGUUGGCCAGGAUGGUCUCAAUCUCUUCACUUCGUGAUCUGCUCUCCUUGGCUUCCCAAGGUGCUGGGAUUACAGGCGUAAGCCACUGCACUUGGCCAGUUUUAUUAAUUUUUAAGGUGUGGACUUUUAGUUUACGACUACUAGUAUUGUCAUUAUUAUUGUUUUUGUUGUUGUUGUUGUUUUCCGCCUGCAGAUAACUCUUAUCUGACCCCUAGCUGAUUUGAAUUAUAAUAUAUCAGACUAGGAAAGCAAUGGGAAAUCUUCAUCUAAAUCUUUGCCUACUUUAGAUAAGUGACCCCAGCACAAUUUCUUGGCCACCAGAGGACUAUAAGUUAGCAAGUUGUAUUAUGUCAUACCCCUGUGGGACAAGAGGAUUCCUUGUUGUCCCUUCCUUUUAGCCUUGGUGAUAAUUUACAAAGAUGAACACUUGAGCACCCUAGUUGCUUAUAGACUCAAGCUAGUACAUGCAAAUGGUUAUUACGUCUACACUGACAGGCAGAUAUUAAAAUAGUAAAGUGUAUCAAACUAGCUGUUUAAAAAAGUCUUUAUUAAAGUUGUUGAGUGGA